AUUGAACGCUGGCGGCAUGCCUAACACAUGCAAGUCGAGCGAGCGGCGGACGGGUGAGUACUGUCUGGGAAACUGCCUGAUGGCGGGGGAUAACUACUGGAAACGGUAGCUAAUACCGCAUACCAUCAGCUUUGCCCAGAUGGGAUUAGCUAGUCGGUGGGGUAACGGCUCACCUAGGCGACGAUCCCUAGCGGGUCUGAGAGGAUGACCAGCCACACUGGAACGGAGACACGGUCCAGACUCCUACGGGAGGCAGAAGUGGGGAAUAUUGCACAAUGGGCGCAAGCCUGAUGCAGCCAUGCCGCGUGUGUGAAGAAGGCCUUCGGGUUGUAAAGCACUGUCAGCGGGGAGGCGGUACCCGAAGAAGAAGCACCGGCUAACUCCGUGCCAGCAGCCGCGGUAAUAC
rnacentral:rRNA from 1 species